GAUGAACGCUAGCGGGAGGCCUAAUACAUGCAAGUCGAGCGGUAGUCAUACUUCGGUGUGAUGAGAGCGGCGCACGGGUGAGUAACGCGUACAUGACCUACCUUUAAGACUGGGAUAGCCCUGGGAAACUGGGAUUAAUACCGGAUGUGAUAAUAAGUAUAAAGAUUUAUUAUUAAAGUUGAGGCGCUUAGAGAUGGGUGUGCGUAUGAUUAGCUAGUUGGUAGGGUAACGGCCUACCAAGGCGACGAUCAUUAGGGGGCGUGAGAGCGUGGCCCCCCACACGGGUACUGAGACACGGACCCGACUCCUACGGGAGGCAGCAGUAAGGAAUAUUGGUCAAUGGACGGAAGUCUGAACCAGCCAUCCCGCGUGCAGGAUGAAGGUCCUAUGGAUUGUAAACUGCUUUUAGCAGAGACGAAACGCUUCCAUUGAUGGGAGUCUGACGGUAUCUGCAGAAUAAGCACCGGCUAACUCCGUGCCAGCAGCCG
rnacentral:rRNA from 1 species